UGGUUCGAACAUUCAUGUUUUUGGGCUUCACGGUUCUACCGCCUACUCACGCCUUAGUACCACCAGGUAGCGAUGCUGGCAAUCUUUACAUGCUCUAUACCAUCGAAUAAUUGACCAAUAGCGAUUCAACCUCUCCUUCAAAUUUACAGCUUAUAUCGACAUUCUCUCUCUGUUGUAUUUCGUAAAAAUUGUAGCGAAACAUGCGUGGGAGACGCAUGGAGACAUCUCUCUGAACGACCGAAUGUUUACCGGAACAAACGAGAUUUUAUAUUUUAGGGUGAAGAGAAACAAUAGAAACUUUCUGCAGGAAACAGUACGAACUUUCUGGACGAACCGUUGAGAAACAUGCACGACGAGGGCGAAACGAAGAGGUACGAGAGGGGAGACAACGUAUAAAAGUGAACUGAUACACCAAUAGUUGGGAAUACGUAGAACACGUACGUUAACACACAGACUUUCGAUCAAAAUGCCGUCGGAACAUCGAUUCAUUCUCUUAGCAAUACAAUGUUAACAAUUCUCUUGGGAGCGUAUAAACUGCUGACAAAGUUUCCCACGUGUUACAAUUUGACGGUCACGGCGUUCAACGUAUCUACAUAUGUGUAAAACACGAGCCGUCAAGUUGUAGAAGAAAUUUAUUACCGACAAAUCUCAAUGUUAAUUGCAACAAAUUGGGUAUCGCCGUGCUUUAUUUUCUAUUACUAUAUACCAUCAUAUCGUUUAUAAGUAUUACUAUCAAUAUCGAUAAUAAUAUAUACUGUAUGCAUGUAAACGUAACGAUAUCGUGAUCAGUGUGAAAUUUUCUUUCGAAUGUUCUCGGAAACAUUAUUGUUUACAAACAGAAAUUAUUCCUUAAAAUAUUUGUAAACUCUGAACAAAGCGCGAAACUGUGUUAAUUUUUGUAUCGUGCACACGAUUAAACGAUCGUGUGAUCACUGUACACUGACGUACAUCGUUACAUUGAUUAUUGCGUAAAUUUUGUUUAGUGUAUUUAGGUGUAAGCAAAGAUACUGAAGACAAUGAGUAUAACGACGAAAGAACGUUUGUGGUAAUCCCCGAUCAAUUAACAUUGCAGAGUUUUUGCUAAUAAAUAUGUUCUUUAGUGUUGACUUGAUAACAGACGAUAUUAGAAAUCAUUGCGAAAACAGAAAAAAAGUAAAAUGCAAAAAAAAAGAAAAUAAAAAAGAGUUAAUAGCUUAUUAGAAAUAUAGAUAUGUUAAGUACAGAGUGAUGGACUAUUAUGUAUUAAUGCAAAUAGUUUUAAAUUUGCCUGAAUUUUUCCAACUAAACAACUAUUUUGUUAGUUUUAUUUUCUCAAUUAGUAUUAUAUAAUAUAUUCGUACACUUGACCAC